ensembl:lncRNA
ACCCUCAGGUGCCCUGGCGUCAGGUCCGGGUCAGCCGACUGCUGAGCGGGCAGAGCGGGAGCCUGGGGAGAGGAGACCAGGCGGCCCUGCCUCCCGCGACCAGUGCUUCUAAAUGCUCGGUGCCGGGCGUCCGCGCGCUCCUGGGGCCUCGGCGUUCGGAGGCGAAGGGGCCCGGGAGGCCCGGGUUGGCGAGGCCACGUCCGGCUCUGGCCUGCGUGGCCCCGCUCGUUCCACGCCAGCGCUUGCCACCCCCGGCCGAGGGCGGGCGCGCCGCCGACAGGCACCCCCGGGGCGCAGGCCGCAGCCUCGCGUCCACCCUGGAGCCCGGCUCUUCCUCCCCGUGCUGCCUUCUCCUGUUUGCUCCUGCUCCCCGGGUUCAGGUAAGUGCCUGCAGGAGUGUCAGGAUUCCUGGACCUGGCCCCCGCCAUGGAGGCCUCCAUAUGCCAACUUCAGAGGCAUGAUAAUUCCUUACAAUUUACAACAGCUCCGAGUUCCCAUUGUGGCUCGGCGAAUUACAAACCCGGCUAGUGUCCAUGAGGAUUCAGGUUCAAUCCCUUGGCUCGCUCAGUGGGUUAACGAUCCAGGGUUACCAUGAGCUGUGGUAUAGGUCGCAGACUGGGCUCGGAUCCUGCAUUGCUGUGGCUGUGGUGCAGGCCAGCGGCUGCAGCUCUGAUUCAACCCCUAGCCUGGGAACCUCCAUAUGCAGUGGGUGCGGCCCUAAAAAGCAAAAAAAGGAAAAACAACUUACAACAGCUGGAAUGUCUUAUUUUGCGACUUUCCCUUUCCCAUCUGAGGGAUCUGAGUUUUUAGGUUUGGGUCGAAGGGCCAAAUGGCAGCACCCAGCCCAGAGGUCUUUCCCCUGUCGCGGCUGUCACCAAAGGGGUACCAUCUGCCUCUCAGGAAGAGCACGGUCCUGGGCCAACCUGCAGUUAAAGCAGGGCUCCCCUUCUCCCCAUCUCAGCCAGAAUUUCCUGCCCAUUUUUCUGAGUUUUCAGCUCAGCUUCUCUGUCAUUGGACAUAUUUGGCCAGAGCCUCUCACUCUCACGCCCUUGCUGGUCACCCUCGCUAGUCACUGACUUGUUGCCAUGGCAGCAGCCUGUCCCAGAGCUGGCGCCCCUCCCCUUCCCCGCCAGGUUUGCACGUUCCCAGGCAGUGGCCCUGGAGAGCUGGGACACGGCAGGGGAUGCCCUACCCAGGCUUGAGCGCCAAGAGUUCGAGAGCUGUUUUCCCAGAGGGCCGGGCGGCAAGUUGGCCAAAUCUGCCCCGUGGGAUUCUCUGGCUGGGUGUAAUGCCACAGCCCACCCCACUGGUCCCCCUGCUGGCCGCUCAGUGAGCCUUGGAGGUCAGGGUGGGAAGGUCAGGGUGGCAGGAGGGGCACGCAGAGCAAGCCCAGGCCGAAAGCCAGGCCCCGCCUGCUGGCCUAGGUUGAGCCAGACAUGGUUGGGGUGGCGGCGGCAGGCUGGGUGAAGGAGGCUGCUCCUAGGGGCCGGGGUGGCAGAAGGAGCUGGUUGCAUGGACCCUCCUCUUGGAUCUUCAUACGGCCCGAGAAGGCGUGGAGCUGGGCAGCUGCGCCCAGGGCGGCAGCCACCUAUCUCCGCAGGCUGCGUGCUGCUGUGCGGCUCAUCUCCUGGCUUGGUGGACUUGACACCAAGGUCCCUGACUUGCUCCACGGCUUCUGUCCUCACUGGUGGCUCAGCUCGAUGCUUCCUCCAGCCCCGUCCACAGUCUGAUUAUCUCAGUGUUCCAGAUGUUCCUGUGCUGGGCUGAACUCUGCCUCAUCAGAAUGUCCACCCUUCUCCCAACCUCAGGCUUUUAUUUUCGACACAGAAACGGGAAACUGGGGGAAGGGAGGCUGAGUGCCAUGGCGAUAGAGCGAGUGGUCUGAGGGCAGCAGAUGGAAUUAUUGGGGGUCAGCGGGAUGCCUAAGCUGGUAAGCAGAGGCCCUCGCCCAGGGACUGCUGGGUGUCCUGUAUGGCGGCUGCGCUGACUGGAGCAAGGCCUACAGGCUCGCCCACAGCCAGAUGUGCCUGUCCCGCUGUGCCCUUUCCUGCUCCAGCACCCCCACCGCCCCCCCGCCCUCGCCGUGCUUUUUCAUCUCUUCCGGCUCUUCCUCCACCCUGGCACACGCACACCUGAGCCGCUGAGCGGCCCCUUCCUUGGCCUGCGCUGCAGGCCUGUGCUCUGGGCAGGUGCCUGAUUCCUCUCCUUACAGGGAAAAAAGGACGCAGAAAAGAGAGGGGCUUAGGGUAAGAGGCAGAGUGGAAGGGAGCCUUCAACCAGGCUGAAGGGACACUGCCCGGGAUGGACUGGGGCUACCAGGCAGCUCUAAGGGCCUGGGUUGGGGGCCAGGCGAGGCUGGUCCGGGGAGAAUUCUGUUUCUAGUUGGACGCUGUUUGACAGCCCGAGGGCCUGUGAAGGAUCCCUUUGACCGGAGGCCUGGGGUAAAACUAGACCUCUUCCUUCUUCUCGUAGCUCCUCUCUGAGUCUUGAGCUGCAAACUGGCCUCUCCUGCUGACUUUCCCAUUUCCGCUCUUCUGGGCCCAGGCGUCCACCUCAGGGUGAUAGCUCUCACUUUUCACGUCUAAUCAGUUAUCAAAUGCUGAAGGUCCCUCGCAAGACAGUUGCCUUUUAUUUCCCCUUCCUCCGCCCAGCCCAUGUGCCUGCUCCCGCGUCUGGGCCACUGUGAUAGCCUCCCAGCCGUGACGGCCUCUGGUCUGUCCAGAGGCACGACCGGAGUCAUCUUUCAGGAGGAUGGCGUCACUGCACAUGUUACUCCCACGCUUCGUUUUGUGUUUUUUUUUUUCUUGGCUGCACCCAAGGUGUAUGGAUGUUCCUGGGCCGGGGAUCGAAUCCAAGCCACAGCUUCGGCAGCAUGGGAUCCUCAACCUGCUGCACCACAGCAGGCACUCUGUUAGUCCCAUGUUCAUUGCCUUCUGUGGUGCUCCUUAUGGCUUGCUCGGUGCACUACAGACUUGUGGCGCAGCGGGAAUGAAUCUGACUAGGAACCAUGAGGUUGCGGGUUCCAUCCCUGGCCGCGCUCCGUGGGUUAAGGAUCCAGCAUUGCUGUGGCUGUGGUGUAGGCUGGCGGCUGUAGCUCCUAUUUGGCCUCUAGCCUGGGAACCUCCAUAU